rnacentral:rRNA from 1 species
ACAGGUGCUGCAUGGCUGUCGUCAGCUCGUGUCGUGAGAUGUUGGGUUAAGUCCCGCAACGAGCGCAACCCUUGCCUUUAGUUGCCAGCAGUUCGGCUGGGCACUCUAAAGGGACUGCCGGUGUUAAACCGGAGGAAGGUGGGGAGUGACGUCAAGUCCUCAUGGCCUUUAUGACCAGGGCUACACACGUACUACAAUGGCCGAUACAAAGGGCAGCGACACUGCGAGGUGAAGCCAAUCCCGUAAAAUCGGUCUCAGUCCGGAUUGGAGUCUGCAACUCGACUCCAUGAAGUUGGAAUCGCUAGUAAUCGUGGAUCAGCAUGCCACGGUGAAUACGUUCCCGGGCCUU